rnacentral:rRNA from 1 species
ACUCAAAUGAAUUGACGGGGGCCCGCACAAGCAGCGGAGCGUGUGGUUUAAUUCGAGGCUACACGAAGAACCUUACCCAGGUUUGACAUACUGGUGGUAGUGAACCGAAAGGGGAACGACCUUCGGGAGCCAGUACAGGUGCUGCAUGGCUGUCGUCAGCUCGUGUCGUGAGAUGUUCGGUUAAGUCCGGUAACGAGCGCAACCCUCGCCGUCAGUUACAAGUGUCUGGCGGGACUGCCCGGAGGAACUGGGAGGAAGGUGGGGAUGACGUCAAGUCAGCAUGGCCUUUAUAUCUGGGGCGACACACACGCUACAAUGGUCGGUACAAUGGGCAGCCAAGUCGCGAGACGGCGCUAAUCCUCUCAAAACCGGCCUCAGUUCGGAUUGCAGGCUGCAACUCGCCUGCAUGAAGUCGGAGUUGCUAGUAAACGCGCAUCAGCCAUGGCGCGUUGAAUACGUUCCCGGGCCUUGUACACACCGCCCGU